rnacentral:rRNA from 1 species
UACGAAGGGGGCUAGCGUUGCUCGGAAUCACUGGGCGUAAAGCGCACGUAGGCGGCUUUUUAAGUCAGGGGUGAAAUUCCUGGAGCUCAACUCCAGAACUGCCUUUGAUACUGAGAGCUUGAGUCCGGGAGAGGUGAGUGGAACUGCGAGUGUAGAGGUGAAAUUCGUAGAUAUUCGCAAGAACACCAGUGGCGAAGGCGGCUCACUGGCCCGGUACGUGACGCUGAGGUGCGAAAGCGUGGGGAGCAGACGAGG